rnacentral:rRNA from 1 species
GAGUUUGAUUAUGGCUCAGGAUGAACGCUGGCGGCGUGCUUAACACAUGCAAGUCGAACGGGCGAAUUAUAUCGGAGGUCUUCGGGCCGAAGAGAUAAUAAGCUAGUGGCGGACGGGUGCGUAACGUGUGGGUAAUCUGCCUUUGUCAUAGGAAUAACUGCUUGAAAAAGUAGCUAAUACCAAAUAACAUAUCGUAUAGGCAUCUAUAAGAUAUCAAAGAGAAAUCGGACAAAGAUGAGCCCGCAUCUGAUUAGCUGGUUGGUAGGGUAAAAGCCUACCAAGGCGACGAUCAGUAGCCGGCCUGAGAGGGUGAACGGCCACAUUGGAACUGAGACACGGUCCAAACUCCUACGGGAGGCAGCAGUGGGGAAUAUUGCACAAUGGGGGGAACCCUGAUGCAGCAACGCCGCGUGAGUGAAGAAGGCUUUCGAGUCGUAAAACUCUGUUGUAAGGGAAGAUAAUGGCG